AAAGGUCAUCAAGAGAGCCCGCAUUUGGCGCGGACCGGCAACCGAGGAAGACUACGGUGCCAGGAAGAUGAGGUCCUAAAAAGACAAAAUCUUUACCUCUC
rnacentral:ncRNA from 2 species